GGUUAAGCGACUAAGCGUACACGGUGGAUGCCCUGGCAGUCAGAGGCGAUGAAGGACGUGCUAAUCUGCGAUAAGCGUCGGUAAGGUGAUAUGAACCGUUAUAACCGGCGAUUUCCGAAUGGGGAAACCCAGUGUGUUUCGACACACUAUCAUUAACUGAAUCCAUAGGUUAAUGAGGCGAACCGGGGGAACUGAAACAUCUAAGUACCCCGAGGAAAAGAAAUCAACCGAGAUUCCCCCAGUAGCGGCGAGCGAACGGGGAGCAGCCCAGAGCCUGAAUCAGUGUGUGUGUUAGUGGAAGCGUCUGGAAAGGCGCGCGAUACAGGGUGACAGCCCCGUACACAAAAAUGCACAUGCUGUGAGCUCGAUGAGUAGGGCGGGACACGUGGUAUCCUGUCUGAAUAUGGGGGGACCAUCCUCCAAGGCUAAAUACUCCUGACUGACCGAUAGUGAACCAGUACCGUGAGGGAAAGGCGAAAAGAACCCCGGCGAGGGGAGUGAAAAAGAACCUGAAACCGUGUACGUACAAGCAGUGGGAGCCCUGAUUUAUCAGGGUGACUGCGUACCUUUUGUAUAAUGGGUCAGCGACUUAUAUUCUGUAGCAAGGUUAACCGAAUAGGGGAGCCGGAGGGAAACCGAGUCUUAACUGGGCGUUAAGUUGCAGGGUAUAGACCCGAAACCCGGUGAUCUAGCCAUGGGCAGGUUGAAGGUUGGGUAACACUAACUGGAGGACCGAACCGACUAAUGUUGAAAAAUUAGCGGAUGACUUGUGGCUGGGGGUGAAAGGCCAAUCAAACCGGGAGAUAGCUGGUUCUCCCCGAAAGCUAUUUAGGUAGCGCCUCGUGAAUUCAUCUCCGGGGGUAGAGCACUGUUUCGGCAAGGGGGUCAUCCCGACUUACCAACCCGAUGCAAACUGCGAAUACCGGAGAAUGUUAUCACGGGAGACACACGGCGGGUGCUAACGUCCGUCGUGAAGAGGGAAACAACCCAGACCGCCAGCUAAGGUCCCAAAGUCAUGGUUAAGUGGGAAACGAUGUGGGAAGGCCCAGACAGCCAGGAUGUUGGCUUAGAAGCAGCCAUCAUUUAAAGAAAGCGUAAUAGCUCACUGGUCGAGUCGGCCUGCGCGGAAGAUGUAACGGGGCUAAACCAUGCACCGAAGCUGCGGCAGCGACACUGUGUGUUGUUGGGUAGGGGAGCGUUCUGUAAGCCUGUGAAGGUGUGCUGUGAGGCAUGCUGGAGGUAUCAGAAGUGCGAAUGCUGACAUAAGUAACGAUAAAGCGGGUGAAAAGCCCGCUCGCCGGAAGACCAAGGGUUCCUGUCCAACGUUAAUCGGGGCAGGGUGAGUCGACCCCUAAGGCGAGGCCGAAAGGCGUAGUCGAUGGGAAACAGGUUAAUAUUCCUGUACUUGGUGUUACUGCGAAGGGGGGACGGAGAAGGCUAUGUUGGCCGGGCGACGGUUGUCCCGGUUUAAGCGUGUAGGCUGGUUUUCCAGGCAAAUCCGGAGAAUCAAGGCUGAGGCGUGAUGACGAGGCACUACGGUGCUGAAGCAACAAAUGCCCUGCUUCCAGGAAAAGCCUCUAAGCAUCAGGUAACAUCAAAUCGUACCCCAAACCGACACAGGUGGUCAGGUAGAGAAUACCAAGGCGCUUGAGAGAACUCGGGUGAAGGAACUAGGCAAAAUGGUGCCGUAACUUCGGGAGAAGGCACGCUGAUAUGUAGGUGAAGCGACUUGCUCGUGGAGCUGAAAUCAGUCGAAGAUACCAGCUGGCUGCAACUGUUUAUUAAAAACACAGCACUGUGCAAACACGAAAGUGGACGUAUACGGUGUGACGCCUGCCCGGUGCCGGAAGGUUAAUUGAUGGGGUCAGCGCAAGCGAAGCUCUUGAUCGAAGCCCCGGUAAACGGCGGCCGUAACUAUAACGGUCCUAAGGUAGCGAAAUUCCUUGUCGGGUAAGUUCCGACCUGCACGAAUGGCGUAAUGAUGGCCAGGCUGUCUCCACCCGAGACUCAGUGAAAUUGAACUCGCUGUGAAGAUGCAGUGUACCCGCGGCAAGACGGAAAGACCCCGUGAACCUUUACUAUAGCUUGACACUGAACACUGGUCCUUGAUGUGUAGGAUAGGUGGGAGGCUUUGAAGUGUGGACGCCAGUCUGCAUGGAGCCGUCCUUGAAAUACCACCCUUUAAUGGCUGGUGUUCUAACGUUGGCCCCUUACCGGGGUUGCGGACAGUGUCUGGUGGGUAGUUUGACUGGGGCGGUCUCCUCCUAAAGAGUAACGGAGGAGCACGAAGGUUGGCUAAUCCUGGUCGGACAUCAGGAGGUUAGUGCAAUGGCAUAAGCCAGCUUGACUGCGAGCGUGACGGCGCGAGCAGGUGCGAAAGCAGGUCAUAGUGAUCCGGUGGUUCUGAAUGGAAGGGCCAUCGCUCAACGGAUAAAAGGUACUCCGGGGAUAACAGGCUGAUACCGCCCAAGAGUUCAUAUCGACGGCGGUGUUUGGCACCUCGAUGUCGGCUCAUCACAUCCUGGGGCUGAAGUAGGUCCCAAGGGUAUGGCUGUUCGCCAUUUAAAGUGGUACGCGAGCUGGGUUUAGAACGUCGUGAGACAGUUCGGUCCCUAUCUGCCGUGGGCGCUGGAGAACUGAGGGGGGCUGCUCCUAGUACGAGAGGACCGGAGUGGACGCAUCACUGGUGUUCGGGUUGUCAUGCCAAUGGCACUGCCCGGUAGCUAAAUGCGGAAGAGAUAAGUGCUGAAAGCAUCUAAGCACGAAACUUGCCCCGAGAUGAGUUCUCCCUGAGACUUAGAGUCUCCUGAAGGAACGUUGAAGACGACGACGUUGAUAGGCCGGGUGUGUAAGCGCAGCGAUGCGUUGAGCUAACCGGUACUAAUGAACCGUGAGGCUUAACCUU
rnacentral:rRNA from 1 species